GGGGGUACAGUGUGGGGAGCUGAGCUACCCCAUGAUGAAGUGGGGGUAUGGUGUGGGGAGCUGAGCUACCCCAUGAUGAAGUGGGGUAUGGUGUGGGAAGCUGAGGUACCCUGGGAUGAAGGAGGUACACUGUGGGGAGCUGAGGUACCCCAUGAUGAAGUGGGGGUAUGGUGUGGGGAGCUGAGCUACCCCAUGAUGAAGUGGGGUAUGGUGUGGGCAGCUGAGGUACCCUGGGAUGAAGGGGGUACACAGUGGGGAGCUGAGGUACUCCGUGAUGAAGUGGGGAAUGGUGUGGGGAGCGGAGGUGCCCCAUGAUGAAGUGGGGUACAGUGUGGGGAGCUGAGGUACCCAUGAUGGAGUAUGGUGUGGGGAGCUGAGGUGCCCCAUGAUGAAGUUGGGUACAGUGUGGGGAGAUGAGGUACCCCAUGAUGAAGUGGGGCAUGGUUGGGGAGCUGAGGAGGCCCAUGAUGAAGUAGGGUAAGGUGUGGGGAGCUGAGGUACCCAUGAUGGAGUAUGGUGUGGGGAGCUGAGGUGCCCCAUGAUGAAGUGGGGUACAGUGUGGAGAGCUGAGGUACCCAUGAUGGCAUAUGGUGUGGGGAGCUGAGGCGCUCCAUGAUGAAGUGGGGUAUGGUGUGGGGAGCUGAGGUGCCCCAUGAUGAAAUGGUGUACGGUGUGGGGAGCUGAGGUACCCAUGAUGGUGUAUGGUGUGGGGAGCUGAGGUGCCCCAUGAUGAAGUGGGGUAUGGUGUGGGGAGCUGAGGUACCCAUGAUGGAGUAUGGUGUGGGGAACUGAGGUGCCCCAUGAUGAAAUGGGGUAUGGUGUGGGAAGCUGAGCUACCCAUGAUGGAGUAUGGUGUGGGGAGCUGAGGUGCUCCAUGAUGAAGUGGGGUACAGUGUGGGGAGCUGAGGUACCCAUGAUGGAGUAUGGUAUGGGGAGCUGAGGUGCCCCAUGAUGAAGUUGGGUACAGUGUGGGGAGAUGAGGUACCCCAUGAUGAAGUGGGGCAUGGUUGGGGAGCUGAGGAGGCCCAUGAUGAAGUAGGGUACGGUGUGGGAAGCUGAGCUACCCAUGAUGGAGUAUGGUGUGGGGAGCUGAGGUGCUCCAUGAUGAAGUGGGGUACAGUGUGGGGAGCUGAGGUACCCCAUGAUGAAGUGGGGCACACCGUGGCAGGUGAGUACCCCAGGAUGUAGUGGAGUACAGUGGUAAAUGGAGGCUCACUGGUGAGGGCAGAUGCUCUGUUGAGAAGCAGUGCUACCUUCUGCUUCAUAACCCUGCCUUCUCUUCCUGCCUCUACUACUCCACUUUCAAAUUAGACAUCGCUGCUCAGGAUUCCUUCCCUAGAAAUCGACCUAAAAUACCUCUCCUACAGACAUGACCCUGAGGACAACCAGUGGCUUCUCACCUGGGGUCCUGGCUCCCAGCACUGUGUGCUGCUGGGUGAGAGUUCCCUUUGUGCAGAGCCCACUUACCACGUGUUGGAUGGAUGCGUCCAUUAAGGAUGGGAUGGAUGGAGUACAGGAGUCCAUUUCGCACACAUUUCCUGAGGUCUUCGAGGUGUCAUGCACCUGCUGGCCUCUGGGGAUCAGACGGGAAUAUAAACUGGUCCCUGUUCUCAAGGAGCUCACACAGGCCCCCGGCUUCACCUGGGCUAAGAGGUAUGACCCACACACUUAUUCAGUGUAGGGGACAGGCCACCAGCUCUGCCUUGGUAAGCCGGGGAAGGCUCGACAGAGUUGGUAAUCUCCGAAG
rnacentral:lncRNA from 10 species